GUGCUCGCUUCAGCAGCACAUAUACUAAAAUUGGAACGAUACAGAGAAGAUUAGCAUGGCCCCUGCACAAGGAUAACACGCAAAUUCAUGAAGCAUUUCAUAUUUUU
rnacentral:snRNA from 1 species